rnacentral:rRNA from 1 species
CCUACGGGAGGCAGCAGUGAGGAAUAUUGGUCAAUGGACGAGAGUCUGAACCAGCGAAGUAGCGUGAAGGAUGACUGCCCUAUGGGUUGCAAACUUCUUUUAUAUGGGAAUAAAAUGUUCCACGUGUGGGAUUUUGUAUGUACCAUAUGAAUACGGAUCGGCUAACUCUGUGCCAGCAGCCGCGGUACUACGGAGGAUCCGAGCGUUAUCCGGAUUUAUUGGGUGUAAAGGGAGCGUAGGUGGAAUGUUAAGUCAGUUGUGAAAGUUUGCGGCUCAACCGUGAAAUUGCAGUGGAAACUGGCAGGCUGGAGUACAGGAGAGGUGGGCGGAAUUCGUGGUGUAGCGGUGAAAUGCGUAGAUAUCACGAAGAACUCCGAUUGCGAAGGCAGCUCACUGGACUGCAACUGACACUGAGGCUCGAAAGUGUGGGUAUCAAACAGGAUUAGAUACCCCGGUAGUC